UGCGCGCGCACGCUACCAAAUCGGCUGCUGCAAUUCCGGGAACGGAAGUCGAGGAAGAGGGGCAGCCGGCGGCGCCUCAAUCCACCUUAUGGUUUGUAAUCCGCUGGCGGCUACCGCGCGCUAUUUUUGUUUGCUAAUCGGCUAAUCGUGGAUGAAGUUGAAAUACUGGUUUAAUGGCGCUUCAUUUCGAGUAAUGCCAUUUUCCUGUCGCAAUGGGUCUGCAAAGCUAUGGAGGUUGCUGGUAUCGACAUCUCCUCCUGUUGUACUCCUCUGUCUUCAUCCGUGGAUUAAACAUCAAACCUGGUCAGGUAUGCUUUAUUAGGUUAUCACUUCAAAGAGUUAUCACUAAUAGAAUCAAGUUUUUUCGACGAGAUCACCAAAAUGCAGCAUGAUUUGUAGGCCGUCUAUGCUGCUUCAUUAGCUAUUACUGCAUAUUAAUGCCUAUGCCUUCUAUUUUUGUUUCAUACACGAACUAUUGUGAAAUUCUUCCAUACAGUAGCAACUAUAAUUAUUAAUUCACAUUUAUUUAAUUUCACUUGUCUGAUCUUUCAUAUAUUCUUAUCUAAUUCAAACAAGUAGGAGUUCCUGUAGAUCGCUUUCUAUCAGUAAUGCUUGUUCUGUAAUUUUCUUUUAUGGGGUUUGGUCGUUCACCACAGAAGACUUGAUCUCGCCUGUUAUGUCUUAGAAAUAGACGUAUAACUAAUUUUUAUCUUUUUAAUUGUUUUAGCCUAUACUAUAAUAUAGAGGUCAACUUUAUUGAGUUAUAGUGGUUAAAGAAAUAUAGAGGACCCUCGAAUCCUGAGUAGGCUGGCAUUUUCUGGUGGCUCCUUCUUGUCUUCAUGAAUGGAAGGGACAAAGUGAAGAUCGAGAGUGAAGUUUCAAAGGUUAUUCAGUAGUGCCAGACUUUUCUUUUGCAGAAAUAGGGGAGAAAGAUGAGAAGAAAGCGUAAAAGAAGACUGUGUUUGUUGAGAAAGCUCAAAGAUUGGACCCGACAAUUUUUGGUCCACAAUGUAAGAAGCUAGAAACACGCAAAGGUUCGAGAGGCGAACUGAGCAGAAACCAUUGUCGUUACUUGCAGAGAUUUUCAUGAAGAUUACAAAGACAAACCUAAAACUCUUUCUUCAUCAAUUCGUUCCAGCCAGAUAUAGCUUUUUGAGGUGUCUUUUUGCUGAUUGUGCUUGUCUCCUUGCGACCAGUAAAGGAUGGGUGACUUUUGGGCCUCUAACUUGAAAGAUGGAAGUUUGGAACUCUUAGACUCAUGGUAGAAUAAACGUUGUGCCUUCGUAUGGGGAUUGGGUGAAGAAAUCCAGUUAGUCCAUGGCAACCAUUUUUUUCAUGCUCAAUGGAAACUUGUUGAUCAAAGAAGUUAUUUUGGUGCUCACGGAGGCUUCUCGCUGGAAGCUGCUGAUUUUUUUUGUAAAUGGAAUGGUGUUCUAGCCCAAAUCCAGUGGAUCCACUUGGAGGGUUCAAGAUGGUCAAAAUUAUCCCAUGGUUAAAAUUCGGUAUCCUAACCUCUUGGGAAGUCCACGACCUGGCGCAAGAGUGAACUUUCAAACUUUUCAAGGGUCACACGUCCGCGUUGAAGUUGAAAACCUCUUUUCACUCUCAUUGUAGACUCCUUCGGCCGGUUAGUGCACCUUUGUUGUCAGAGAAAGUUCAUUAGAGGCUUCGCAGUGGACCGUAGGGAGGAGGAAAUCUUUCACUUACAAUAUGCUGAUGACACCAUCAUUUUUUGCCCUGAGGGGGGUUUUCUUGCUAAUUGGUGGUUAUUGGUAAAAAAAUUCCGUUUUGUCUUGGGUCUCUCCCUCAAUUUGACCAAAACUUCUUUAAUAGGCAUCAACAUUUAAGAGGAUAUCUUGAUGUUAAAUGCAAAUGAGCUGGGAUGAAGAGUGGAAAAGUUCCCUUUUUCCUAUUUGGGUAUACGUUUGGGAGGUAAUUUUCAGAACAAAACAUUUUGGGACCCGAUGUUCGACAAGGUCAGGAAUAAGGUUGAUAAAUGGAGAAUUGUACUCUUCCGAAGGGUGGUGGGUUGACUCUUGCAAAAUCGGUGACAAAUAGCCUUCCUCUGUACUAUUUCUCCAUCCUCAAAGCUCAAAGGAGAAUCAUAAAUGAAAUUGAGAAUAUGGCUAGGAAUUUCUUCUCAUGUGGCUUUAGCUCGACGUGUUCUUGUAGUAACUUAGUAAAUUGGGGGAAAACUUAUCUCCCUCUACAAUAUAUAGGCUUAGGGGUCGAGGCUUUUUAACAAAACAACAAUGCCCUUCUUCAAAUGGCUUUGGAGGUGUAAUCGAGAAAACUUUGCUUUAUGGAAGAGGGUUGUUUCUAGUAUCAUUGUGAAGAUCCUCACAAUUGGUCUACCCUCCCUGAAAGGAGUUGCAAAAGGAAGGCCAUGGUUUGAAAUUGCAAACAACAGUAGGUGUUUUUUUGGACGACAAGGCUCGUCAAGGGGAAAAAAUCAGGUUUUGGAAGGACAAAUGGAUUGGGGUAAACACUUUGAAGGUUGUUUUCCGGACAUUUUUUAUAAGAGGCUUCCAUUGUCGAUUGCAAGAAAGAAGAUUCAAGGGACUGAGAUUUGGUCUUGAGAAGCGGGUUUUUUGGUAGAGAACUUGAUAGUUGGUUGGGGUUAGUCCAGAAGCUUUAUGUUGUCUGCUGGGGGAUGGUGAUGACAAGGAGCCCUUUCACUCGAAAAGGAAGUCUAGAAUUCCAAAGAAAGUCAUGGUGUUCUUAUGGUCCUUAGCUCAGAGGAAUUUAAACACAGAAUCUCCUCCGAAGGACAUGUAAACAGUGAAGUGCCCAUUGACCACAUCUUUCUACAUUGUCCUUUUGCUACCAAAGCUUGGUCUUUCCUUCUUGACAUCCUUGGCCUUUCGGUUUGUAUGCCCAAGCACGUUGGCAUUUGGUCAGUAGAAGUCCUUGGGGGUUGGAGCUUAUCUAAACGGGCUGAAGUCCGUUGGAAUUGCGCAGCUAGAGUGCGCCUAACAUCUUUGGUUGGAAAUGUCUCAUCCUAUGUUCGAAGAUAAGUCUUCUUCUUUUGAGUCUUUUUGUAGAAGUGUACAGUACAACUCAAUUCGGCUUGAUGGUAUGUUUUUUCAGAAGAAAUUCAUUUUUAAUUAUAGCCUUUCCAUGAUUAUUUACCACUGGAAAUCUCCUCUUUAGUUUUCUGUGGGUAGGGAAACGCUCUUCCUCUAGCCCUCUUAGGUUGUUUGUCCCAUUUUUUGGGUUCAGAUACCCAAGUUUUCAACGGUUAUUAUCUUUUCUAAAGUUGAAUGUUCAAAUUUUCAAAAGACUCAAUAGUCAUUUGACGAUAGAUAGAUGUAAAGUAAAUUAUAUCCACGACAAAUGAUUCGAAGGUAGAUAGGUGGAAAAUAGUAUGGAAUUUACUUGUUUUGGGUUAUUUCAUCUUUUUCCUCCAUGUUUUUUCUAAAUUUCUUGUGUGUCAAUUCUUGCUUUUAAUUUUUUCUAUAUAUUAUUUGUUUUGGGGAUUAAAAUCUUUGAGCCAAAAACUUACUGAUGCCUAAUUGUUGCCAUACUCUAGAUUGGCUACUAGUAAUUGCAUAUAAUUUCAUGAAAAUUACAGGAAUUAUAUGACAAUUUAUCCUCUGCAUGUGUCUAGC